UUCCUCCCAAGAAUUCCUCAACAUCUUUCUCAAAUUUCAACGAAUCCCAAGCUCUCAAUCUCUGUUUCCUCAACCCCCAAACCAACUCCUUGUUCUUACUCGCUGUGUCUGCAUCUGCAUGCCAACCUCUGCCACCUUACUUCGUGCUAUUUUUCCAGAGUUGCGUGUUUCUGAUCCUGCAAAGAUUGGAGAACUUCUACAACUACAACUUGUUAAUUAUGUAUCUUCAUGGCCGACUCAGACGACGACUCUGGAGGACCCCAGUAACCCAUCAAAGACCACCAACGCCAAAGGCCUGUCUCCCCGAGGGAACAAGACCGUUUCUUGCCCAUUGCAAACGUUAGCAGGAUCAUGA
rnacentral:misc_RNA from 1 species